rnacentral:lncRNA from 1 species
ACGAACAGAAUAGAAUAGGUCACAAACAGGACUGCGAGUCACAUACGAACUAGAACAAAACAUUAACAAACACAGUUAGCUAAAUAAAAUAUCAUCAAUUCUAGAAUCGGAGUAGUAAAGAGUGAAUUCUGGAAUCAAAAAUAAACUCACAAUUCUGGAAUAAAAAAUAACCCCAACAUCCGGAACAAAACCCAUAAAACUCACAAUUCCGGAAACAAAAUUAAACUCACAACAAAACCCAUAAAACUCGUAAUUCUGAAAUCAGAAACAAAUUCAAAUCAGAAGAAAGUACCGAUAUUUGUGAUUUGAGAACGAGGAACUAGUUCAACG